rnacentral:rRNA from 1 species
UACAGAGGUCUCAAGCGUUGUUUCGGAUUCAUUGGGCGUAAAGGGUGCGUAGGCGGCGCGGUAAGUCGGGGUGUGAAAUCUCGGAGCUUAACUCCGAAACUGCAUUCGAUACUACCGUGCUUGAGGACUGGAGAGGAGACUGGAAUUUACGGUGUAGCGGUGAAAUGCGUAGAUAUCGUAAGGAAGACCAGUGGCGAAGGCGGGUCUCUGGACAGUUCCUGACGCUGAGGCACGAAGGCCAGGGGAGCAAACGGG